GUCGAGCGGGGUUUUCGGGCCUAGCGGCGGACGGGUGAGUAAUGCGUAGGAAGCUACCCGAUAGAGGGGGAUACCAGUUGGAAACGACUGUUAAUACCGCAUAAUGUCUACGGACCAAAGUGUGGGACCUUCGGGCCACAUGCUAUCGGAUGCGCCUACGUGGGAUUAGCUAGUUGGUGAGGUAAUGGCUCACCAAGGCGACGAUCUCUAGCUGGUUUGAGAGGAUGAUCAGCCACACUGGAACUGAGACACGGUCCAGACUCCUACGGGAGGCAGCAGUGGGGAAUAUUGGACAAUGGGCGCAAGCCUGAUCCAGCCAUGCCGCGUGUGUGAAGAAGGCCUUCGGGUUGUAAAGCACUUUCAGCGAGGAGGAAGGGUUGUGUGUUAAUAGUACACAGCCUUGACGUUACUCGCAGAAGAAGCACCGGCUAACUCUGUGCCAGCAGCCGCGGUAAUACAGAGGGUGCAAGCGUUAAUCGGAAUUACUGGGCGUAAAGCGCACGUAGGCGGUUUUUUAAGUCAGAUGUGAAAGCCCCGGGCUCAACCUGGGAAUUGCAUUUGAAACUGGAAAACUAGAGUGUGUGAGAGGGGGGUAGAAUUCCAAGUGUAGCGGUGAAAUGCGUAGAGAUUUGGAGGAAUACCAGUGGCGAAGGCGGCCCCCUGGCACAACACUGACGCUCAGGUGCGAAAGUGUGGGGAGCAAACAGGAUUAGAUACCCUGGUAGUCCACGCCGUAAACGAUGUCUACUA
rnacentral:rRNA from 1 species